rnacentral:rRNA from 1 species
UGGGGAAUUUUGCGCAAUGGUCGAAAGACUGACGCAGCGACGCCGCGUGUGGGAGGAAGCCCUUCGGGGUGUAAACCACUGUCAGGGGGGAAGAACUCUCAUCCUGCGAAUAGCUGGGUGAGCUGACGGUACCCCCAGAGGAAGCGCCGGCUAACUCCGUGCCAGCAGCCGCGGUAAGACGGAGGGCGCAAGCGUUGUUCGGAAUUACUGGGCGUAAAGCGCGGGCAGGCGGUUUGUUAAGUCUUCUGUGAAACUCCGGGGCUCAACUCCGGACAUGCAGAAGAUACUGGCAGACUGGAGUCUGGUAGAGGCAAGCGGAAUUCCUGGUGUAGCGGUGGAAUGCGUAGAUAUCAGGAAGAACACCUGUGGCGAAGGCGGCUUGCUGGGCCAGUACUGACGCUCAUCCGCGAAAGCGUGGGGAGCAAACAGGAUUAGAUACCCCCGUAGUCC